UACGUAGGGUGCGAGCGUUGUCCGGAAUUGUUGGGCGUAAAGGGCUCGUAGGCGGUUUGUCGCGUCGGGAGUGAAAAUCCAGGGCUUAACUCUGGACUGGCUUUCGAUACGGGCAGACUAGAGGUAUGCAGGGGAGAACGGAAUUCCUGGUGUAGCGGUGAAAUGCGCAGAUAUCAGGAGGAACACCGGUGGCGAAGGCGGUUCUCUGGGCAUUACCUGACGCUGAGGAGCGAAAGUGUGGGGAGCGAACAGG
rnacentral:rRNA from 1 species